UACAGAGGGGGCAAGCGUUGUUCGGAAUUACUGGGCGUAAAGGGCGCGUAGGCGGCCUUCUAAGUCGAACGUGAAAUCCCCGGGCUCAACCCGGGAACUGCGUCCGAUACUGGAAGGCUUGAAUCCGGGAGAGGGAUGCGGAAUUCCAGGUGUAGCGGUGGAAUGCGUAGAUAUCGGGGGGAAUACCAGUGGCGAAAGCGGCACCCUAGCGUUAGCCUGACGCUCAUGUGCGAAAGCGUGGGGAGCGAACGGG
rnacentral:rRNA from 1 species